rnacentral:rRNA from 1 species
CCUACGGGGCGCACCAGUGGGGAAUAUUGCACAAUGGGCGCAAGCCUGAUGCAGCCAUGCCGCGUGUAUGAAGAAGGCCUUCGGGUCGUAAAGUACUUUCAGCGGGGAGGAAGGCGAUAAGGUUAAUAACCUAGUCGAUUGACGUUACCCGCAGGAGAAGCACCGGCUAACUCCGUGCCAGCAGCCGCGGUAAUACGGAGGGUGCAAGCGUUAAUCGGAAUUACUGGGCGUAAAGCGCACGCAGGCGGUCUGUCAAGUCGGAUGUGAAAUCCCCGGGCUCAACCUGGGAACUGCAUUCGAAACUGGCAGGCUGGAGUCUUGUAGAGGGGGGUAGAAUUCCAGGUGCAGCGGUGAAAUGCGUAGAGAUCUGGAGGAAUACCGGUGGCGAAGGCGGCCCCCUGGACAAAGACUGACGCUCAGGUGCGAAAGCGUGGGGAGCAAACAGGAUUAGAUACCCCAGUAGUC